GUUUCUUCCCCCCAUGAUAGACGCACGCACGCCUCAUCGGGACACACUAUAAGAUAGGACGCGUGACUUUGACCUGUCAGGUGAAUGACCGCGCGCUUGCGUGCGUAACGGUCCGGGGUUAAAAGCAUCGGACCGCUCAUAAGUUUUGGAGUAGUAAAAGCGCUACUCGGUGAAGGUUUGGGACGCAUUUGACCUGGAAAUGAUGGCCGCGCGAUUUGCUCUCUGCGUCCACGUCGCGCGAGCGGCCACACGGAGCUCCACGCGCGUUUUGGGACAAGGACUCGCGCGCAGCCUCAGCAGCGACACAGGUUUUUGUGGCAGUAAUGAACG